rnacentral:lncRNA from 1 species
AUAAGUGUGACAUGAUGUUAUAUUAUUACUUGAUUUCUAAAAGAUUACAAGUUUAAAACAUGAAUAGUUAAUGAGUUAUUUUUUAGAAUAGUCACAAUCACAAAAGAACAUGUCACAAUUAGCAUAUUUGUUGGUCACAGUCGCAUGUUUAUGGUUGUGUUUUAGGUCAUGGUCACUUGUCUGACUUUCUAUUUUGUGCAAGACUCAAAAUAUUUUGAUAAAAGAAAGCAAAUGGUUUCUUGACAAGAUCACAAAGUGCCAUCACAGACUUCAUGAUGAAAUUCAAGGCUUCACCGAAUGAGAUCCCUGAAGACACUUAUUACACUUACCACAUGCAUUGAGAGAGAUCUUUGUCCAACCUCUAACUUAUUCAUUAUAAGUGGUUGUGGAAGGUUAAGCAACCAAACAAGGAAGAGAUUGAUUCAACAUCAAUGGCAAAUAUAUUCAAUUUUCAAUUACCGAAUUUUGUUUUCUGACUGGGCUAUGAUAUGUUGGAAUAGAUGAUUGAACAACCAUCUAAAAUGAGAGGGAAAUUAAAGACUGAUGAUUGCAUGAUUGUUAAUAGAAUUACUUUGAAAAUGAUUUUUCAUUCAUGAUGUUUCAGGUAGAUGUUGUCUUUAUAUGAAUUCGGUUUGUUUGUAUGUGUGAAUGAUUAUUUUUCACCUUCUUAAAAUUCUAGGUGACUGUUAUUCUUGUGUACUUUAAAUGAGAAACUGUGAAUGGUGUUAGUUAUAUCAUCGAAGUAAUAUUUUGUAUGGAAGAAAAAGUUAAUAAUGUAUGUGUUACGUAUCACAAUCAGACAGCGACAGGUCACAACUAACAAAUGGUUAACAAGACAUUUAGACAACAUUCACAGUAAACAU